UACGAGGGGGGCAAGCGUUGUUCGGAAUUAUUGGGCGUAAAGGGUGCGUAGGCGGUUUUGUAAGUCUUGUGUGAAAUCUUCAGGCUCAACUUGAAGACUGCACGAGAAACUGCAGGGCUUGAGUGUGGGAGAGGUGAGUGGAAUUCCUGGUGUAGCGGUGAAAUGCGUAGAUAUCAGGAGGAACACCUGUGGCGAAAGCGGCUCACUGGACCACAACUGACGCUGAUGCACGAAAGCCAGGGGAGCAAACGGG
rnacentral:rRNA from 1 species